rnacentral:piRNA from 1 species
UUCUGAUAGACUGUCUUGAGUUUCG